rnacentral:rRNA from 1 species
GACGAACGCUGGCGGCGUGCUUAACACAUGCAAGUCGAACGGAAAGGCCCCUUUGGGGGUACUCGAGUGGCGAACGGGGGAGUAACACGUGAGUAACCUGCCCUUGACUUCGGGAUAACUUCAGGAAACGGGGGCUAAUACCGGAUAGGAAUCCUUGCUGCAUGGUGGGGGUUGGAAAGCUUCGGCGGUUUUGGCUGGACUCGCGGCUUAUCAGCUUGUUGGUGGGGUAGUGGCUUACCAAGGCUUUGACGGGUAGCCGGCCUGAGGGGGCGACCGGCCACCUUGGGACUGAGAUACGGCCCAGACUCCUACUGGAGGCAGCAGUGGGGAAUAUUGCCCAAUGGGCGGCAGCCUAAUGCAGCAACGCCGCGGGCGGGAGGACGGUCUUCGGGUUGUAAACCGCUUUCAGCAGGGGCGAAGCUUGUGGUGACGGUACCUGCAGAAGAAGCACCGGCUAACUACGUG